UACGAACGCUGGCGGCGUGCUUAACACAUGCAAGUCGAACGGAAAGGCCCUGCUUGCAGGGUACUCGAGUGGCGAACGGGUGAGUAACACGUGGGUGAUCUGCCCUGCACUUCGGGAUAAGCCUGGGAAACUGGGUCUAAUACCGGAUAGGAGCCAUUUUUAGUGUGAUGGUUGGAAAGUUUUUUCGGUGUAGGAUGAGCUCGCGGCCUAUCAGCUUGUUGGUGGGGUAAUGGCCUACCAAGGCGGCGACGGGUAGCCGGCCUGAGAGGGUGGACGGCCACAUUGGGACUGAGAUACGGCCCAGACUCCGACGGGAGGCAGCAGUGGGGAAUAUUGCACAAUGGGCGCAAGCCUGAUGCAGCGACGCCGCGUGGGGGAUGACGGCCUUCGGGUUGUAAACUCCUUUCGCUAGGGACGAAGCUGUUUGUGACGGUACCGAGAUAAGAAGCACCGGCUAACUACGU
rnacentral:rRNA from 1 species